GGCUGUGUGGCGGCUACUUCCGGUUCCUCGCCUCUCCUAUUGGCUGUUACUCCGAGACCGGAACUGCAUCUAUUCCGGGUGCCAUUUUCCUUCAGGGCAGAAGGCGAGGUUUGUUAUGGGCAUGGACUCUUUAAGCAGAAGCUUUAACCGCUUUCCCUUCUACCUUACAACUCCUUCCCUUCGUUUUUCCCUUCAAAGUUUUCAAAGCUCAGCGGAGCCUAGGAUGCCUGUGGUUGUCUUAGGGUGUAGGGUGCGAAGUUGGGGUGGGGGGCGAGGAGGUCCCAAAACCACAGAGAUGCGUGUUUAUCAAGCUAACCGGGAAAGUCCAAACUUCUGACUUCACUGCUCUGCUCUUGAUUUGGUAUCCUGGGUUGGGUGUGAAAGGUGUUACUUGGGAGUUAACUUGUCCAGGACUUACACUUUGUUAGGAAUCACCUUAAAGACCGGGCGUGGCGGCGCACGCCUUUAAUCGGGAGGCCGAGGCAGGCAGAUCUCUUUGAAUUUGAGGUCAGCCUGGUCUACACAGUGAGUUCCAGAACAGCCAGAGCUGCUACACAGAGAAACCCUGCCGUGGGGAAAAAAAAAAGGAAUCACUUGGAAAUUUUGUUAAGCUGUUGAUUUUGAUUCAUUGGUCAAGGGUGAAGCCCAAGAGUCUACAUGGUCCACCUCUCAGGAGAGUUCCACGGCACGUGUCCUUUCCAGAGUUAGCAAAUGAGAUGCUUUUGCAAGGGAAGCUAUUUCAUCUCUGUAAAUUACAGGUUCAGGACCUGAAGACAGGAGAAGCAUGGCAAGUUCAAGAAGAGCCUGUUCUACACAUGUGAGCUACAGCUCAAGAUGUAAGCUCUCAGCUGCUACAGCCAAUGUGCCUACUGCUUACUGCCACACUGCCCAGCCAUGAUGGACUCUUAACUCUGAAACCAUAAGCCCAAUUUACCACUUUUUUAUAGGUUGCAUGGUGUUUUGUCACAAUAAUAGAAAAGUAACUGAGACACUUCCCAAGGCCUGUUUACCUCAUACCCAUCUCAUUGGAAAGGGUAGAGUUCCAAUAUGAGAUGUUCAGGAGUCAUGUUUAGCUCAUUGCUACUCACUUCGCUAGCCAGGAGAACUUGAAUCUUUUAAAACCAUUUUGAAGCCAGCAGCGGUGGCGCACGCCUUUAAUCCCAGCACUUGGGAGGCAGAUCAGGCAGAUCUCUUGGGUUCAAGGCC